UCUUCAAGCAAUAACUAUAAUAAGAAACAACAAAAUUUUAUAAUCUCAGUAAAUAAUAUUUAUCAUAGAAUACAAGAAAAAAUAGAAACGUAAAAUAUUUACUGUUUUAUAAUCAGUCUUAAUUUAGCCACAGAAGUUUAUUAUAGCUUAAGUCAAAUCUAGCUUAAUAUUAUUUACUAAAUCGAGUAAUAUCUGCAGCAGUUUUAUAAUGAUUCCUUAUCGACAUUACAUAACCAAGCAUCAAAUAAAGAUAUGAAAUAUAACAAAAAUAUAAAUUUGAGUAUUAAUAACAUAAUAAAAUAAUAUUAAUGUUAACAUGUUAAAUUUAACAAUAGUAUUUUAAAAGCAAAAAGCUCAUUAACAAUGAAAUUAUUAAUCAAAUAAAGUUAACAAGAAUAAUAUUUUGAAUUAUUUUACUUUUAUGAAAAAUGGCUUAAAUGCGAUACUUUGGCAAUUAUUUCCAUGGUAAUAGACUCUCUAUUUAAGUAUCUAAUGUAUUAGAUUAUUUAAUAAUAUAUAAUAUAUGAUAUAACGUAUAUUACAUAUUAUUUUACACAGAAUGUGCAUCAAAACAUAACACAAAGAUGUCGAUCGUCUUAUUGUUAAUUUUACUUUCUUGUUAUAAGAAAAAUAAUCUAUGCAUAAAGAGUAUUGAUAUAUUAAAUAUUAGUCAUCUUGCAAGCAAGAUUAGCAUUAAAAAUAGUGCACAUUAGAUGAUUAGCAUUACUAUCACAGAUGUCUACCUUACGAACAAUAUUCGGGCAUUCCUUCUGUAUACGAGCCCAAUCUGCAGGAGGCCGUUUUGCAUAAGGGCCUGUGGAACAUAGCAGCAAGAACUCAUAAGUGAGUUCUCUGAUUUCUGGAUCUGAAAUUUUAUUUCAAAUCAUUUGACUAUAACUUAACUUUUCUUUAAAAAAUAUUAAACAUGAAUUAUUUAAACAGUUUUGAACUCUAAUUAAGUACCUUGAUCAGAUGACUGAAGUUCUGUAGCAAGAUGUGAUUUAUAUGUUUCUUCACUUUCAGAAGUAGCUGCACUAUCCAUACUUAAUUCUCGUCCUAACGAAACGGUAUUACUUGGAGUUAAUGGUGUUUGUGACAAAUUAUUAUCAGAUGAAGCAGGUUUUUCGUCAAAGGUAAAAUAUUCUAUUCCACUUCCAAAUUGUUCAGAAUCUCCUAAGAAAUAUUCAUCCAGCACUAAUUUUGCAGUCUAAGAAAAGUAAAAAAUGCAAUAUUAAGUAUACAUAAAAAGAAAUGUAUAAAAUCCAAAUAUUACAAUAAAAAUUCGUACCCUAACAAGAUCCAAAUUUGUUCCUGUAAUCUUAAGGGAUUGAUUAUCGACUGUAACUGUAUAUUUAUAUUCGCCAAUACUGGCGUCGUUGGUGGAGAAGCUAUGAAGGAGCGAACUUCUCAAACGAGAAUUUUGUUGUUGGUGUUGUUGCAAUCGAUUACUUUCUUCAGAUGCACUACUAUUUAAAGAAGAGCUUGAACCUCCUAUACCUCCUUUUUCUCCUCCACCUUGCUCCAACCGUACCGGAGAUGCAUUUCGUUGAAUCGUAUCCUUUAUUAAAUCCUUCGCAUAACUAGUAUAAAUAGGCAUUAUUUAAAGAAAUGUAUUAAAGAUAAUAAUUAUUUGUAAGAAUUUUUAUAACAGUGAAAUAUAUGAACUCACUGUAUCUUGUCCUCGGAAGUACCAGUUAUUUGGACAAGUCGUUCUUUAGCCCCAGGGUUUACUAAAAAAAAAAAAAAUUUUACACAUUAUUAUAUACAUUGUAAUUACUAGAUUCGGAUGUAAGUUUUAUUCUAUUAAUUAAAAACUUCUGUCUUAUACUUAUACAAGAUUGUUAAUUACAAGAUGGUAACAUUUUAAAUGCUACAACAUAUCAUAUAACUCCAAUCAAAAAUAUAAUCAAUUAUUGGUGUUAAAUAUUGCUUUAACAAUUUUUCUCAGAUAUAUUACAAAUACAAUGUCAUUACUGAUUUGUAAUUAAAUUUGUUGAAAUGAAUACAAUGUGGUAUAUUUGGCUAUGAUAUAUAGGUAUUAUAUAACUAGUGUUAUUGUAAAAAUUUUAAAUAUUUCAGAUAGUAAUAUAACAUUUUUAAAUCAUUCUUGUGAUGGUAAUUAUAUUGCUAUGUAUGUAACUUUAUUGACAAAUGAUUAUUUCCAGCUUUUACUAAUAAUAUAUGUAUCUCACAAUAAUUAUAACUCUGAUUAAUCAUUAUUUAAAAAGCUGCAGGCACAAUGCAUGACAGUUAUAUAUUGCAUCAUUGAACAUACAGUGGCACAUGCCAUGAUGAUUUAAAGGAUAAAGAAAUAGUAACAGAUUAAGCUUCUGCAGAACGUGUUCAAAUUUUCUAUAUACCUUAUAACUGUGACCUUCAGAUAACCUUAUGUUUUUGACCUUCAAAUCAAUAUAUCAAUGAUUUGAACAUCUUGAUAUCCAAGUCUUGAACGUUGUAAUGUAAUUAAUACUUGGUAGCAACUCACUUGGUAGCGUGCUUGAAAUUAAUAAUUAUAUUACAGCAAAAUAAUGUAUAUACAUAUAUACCUAAGAUGAUCACAUCAAAGCUAAAAAAUCAUUUUAUGUAACUUUGUAGUAAAUCUAAAAUAAAAUUUAUAUUAUAUAAAUAAUAAAUAAAAACAAUCAAAACUUUGACAUUUUUAGAUUAAAACAUACAUUAUGUAGUUAUGCGGAACGUCUGAUAUUAUCAGAAAUCUAUAUAUCUGUUUCAUAAAACUAUUUGCAAAAUUGCAAUUGUUCUUAGUAAAUGAUGCAUGUAGUAUGCUUGCAAUUAAAGAUAAAUUAGUAAUUAUCAAACUGCUUGUAAGACAUUAGGAUUGAAUUAUUCAUAAUUGCAAUCUAAAUACAUGUGAUUAAACUCACAAAUGUUAGAAUAUUAGGAUAUGGUAAGGAAUUAGGUGUCAUCUGAUUCAUCAAGUAUUAUUCUUAUAAUGCACGAGCACAAUGCUGAUAAGCCAAUCGCAGAUCAUUGCUUUACCUCGCUGGAAGGAGAUGAUCGUCUGGCUCAGUUCUUCGAUCAUGUGAACACGACGCCCUUUUAUUCCCAUCACUGUAUUUUUACGUACAUAGUUUAAAAAUGGAUGGAUAAACAUAAACUGCACGAAAUUAAUUUAAAUUGCAACUACAUUAAGAAUUAAAUUUGAAAAAUUUAACUUAAAAAUUGUAAUAAAAUAAGCAAAAUAAGUAAUAUUUAAACUAAACUAAAAUAGAUACUACUGGUUUAAACUAAAAAUAAAAAAGAAAAUUCCUAAAAAAAUGCCUUUUUUUAAAUAGAGCUAACAUGGUAUCCUCAUAUAAUACGUUUUACUAGCAGCACAGACUCAUAUUACCUUACAAUUGAUAUAUAAUAACUAUGAUAAAUCAUAAUUUUGAUUUUUUGAAUAAAAUUUGUAGUCAGUUGCAUACCAUUUUUUAAUUUUGAUAUAUAAUUAUGAAUAUUAAAAAACCAUGAAUUUUAUUUACCUUUACCAGAAUCACUGUUACGUAUAACAACUUCAUCCUUGCAAUAAUUUUUACCAGGAAUCCGAGUAGGCUUCGCAAAUUUGCCACUAUUUUUUAUUACUUCACCAGGACCCAAAAUAGAUGUAGCAGUAGGUGGAACUACCGUCAAAGGUGAAGCCAAUGGAUUCGCAAGUGUUUCUAGAGUUCCUUCUGUCUGUAAAUAUAAUUUCAGUUUAUAAAUAUGAGAUUAGAAUAUUAUUAAAAAAAAACAAAAAUAAUUCAAUUACAUUAUCAAGAUGCGAUAAUUUAUGAGUAUAAUAUACAUCCAUAGAGUCUGUGUGACGCCAUUGUUUAGCUCGCAAUUCUAUAAGUUCCAGCAAAUGAACCCUAGUCGUCAGAUCUAGUCUCUCGUCUUGACUUCCAUUCCUUAUUGCGACAAAAGCUCUGUCCAGCUGAUCUAAAUAUUACAAACAUUAAAAAUAGAAAUUAUGCAAAGAAAUAAUAGAAACUUAGAUAUGUAGUUCAAUCUUCAAACAACAAAUAUUUAAUACAAAUUACAAAUAUACUAUCUAUUCUAAAAUUAAUUUAACAAUAAUAUUUAAAAAUAAAAAUUUGUUCUUUUCCCUUUUCAAUUUUGUUUACAAGGAAUUAAAAAAAAAAGUAAAAAGUAAAGUGCGAAAAGAAAAAUUAUACCUUUGUAAAUAGCUUCUAACUGAUGUGCAUAAAGUUUGAGAUGAUUACACAUUGUAAUCACAUUCAUUUGCAGCGUUUGGUCAUGGAAGCCAUUAGUUAAUUGCAUCGUAACAUUGUCGAUUAAGGACACUAUGUCCUCCACUAUUAAAAAAAUAUAUAAUUUUUUACAAUAAAUAAUAAAAAUUACAAAAUCUCCAUAUACAUAAUACUUAUCAUAUGAAUGUUUUUGAUAUAAAAAUAAAAUUAUAUUUAUAUAGAGUCUAGAACAAAAAACUAUUGUUUAUAUAGAACUUAGCAUAUAAACUAAAAUAUUAUUAAAUUGGAAUUACAUUUUAAAUAUUAAAUAUAUAUAUAAAAAAGCUUUUGUAUUUUAAUAAAAAUAUAAAAAAUUUUAAGUAUACCUGUCGUGAUCCGUCCAUCGACGGUCGUAUGGCGCUGAUUAAGUUUGAGUGGCCGAGGUUUUUCGAUUUUCUUGAUAGUUCGUGCCCUAUUCAGUUGUGUCGUGGCCAUUGUUUAUUACCUUCAAAUAAUUAACUGUUAAUCUAAAUUGAAUGAUAUAUUCGAAGGUACAUUGAAAAAGUCAAAGUCAACAAAUAAGAAAGACAUCUGUCCUUUAUUAUAUUUUUUUAUUUUUAUUUACUUUGCGAGUGAAUCUAAUAAUAGUCGUAAAAAUUUUAAUAAAAUUUCUAUCAAUUUAAAAAAAAACCGAUUUACAAGCUUUAUGAAAUUGUCAAUUACUUUGUAUUAUGAGAGAAAAGGAAUAAAAUAAAAAGAGAAAUUAUCGAGAGAAGGAAAAAUGAAUUACACGAUCGUUUUUAUGCGAAGGCGGCAUUCGAGAUCUAGUCUUCGUAGUCGACUCUAGACGACGCACUUCUGCGUCGCGCGCGAUUUAAAAAUAACCGUGAAAAAGAGGAACGCAAGAACGCUUUUGGUUUUAGGAAUUAACGAUUACGCAUGGGAGAAAGAAAGAUAUUCGUUAAAUAUGUCAACUUAGAUUAUUUCUCACAUGCUCCCGAUAACUAUGAUAUAACAUCGAUAAAAUGUACUGUUUUAUGAAGAUAGGGUAAAUUUAAGAAUGAACAAAAUGUGUCAAGUUAGGAGAAAGAACUUCAGCUAUGUGUCAAAUUGAAAGAGAAGAAUAACAUUUGACGUUUGAAGAGGAAUAAAUUGUUCUUUAAAUAUACAACAAACAUUGUUAAACUUCACACGCUUCACACUUUUUAAUCGUAAAUCACCUACCACCUUUUCUCUCGUGCCACGGAUCAACGACGGGCAAAUCGUAUGUUCGUAGAAAUCGGUAAGACGUGUCGUCGACAUCCACCGAAAAGUUAGUGCCAACUGGCGAAGGCAUGCCAAUAUAACACAGAAAACUUACCGGAUAAAUUAACAGGAAUAAAAUAUUAAUAUUUUCGUAGCUUCUUAUUUUUGACAUAGAAUUUCGAUACGUUAAAGAAAUGUAUAUAAAAUUAAACUAUUAUGAAAACGAUUUAUAAGUAGCGUUAAUACUAUAUAUAAUUUGUAUUUUAUAAUAUAUUGAUGUCAACAUAACGUCAAAUGUAUCGCUCUCUUGCGACAUUUAGUAAUAUAAUAUUACAUUAAUCGUGGCAAAUUGUGUUUAAUUGUCCUUAUUAAAAAAAAUAGUAAAUAUUUAAAAUCUUUUGAAUUUAUAUAAAUGCAUAAGAAUCGAGAUGUUUUUUUUUUAAUAGAAGGUAUUUGUAUAUAAAAUGCAUAGUAUGACAUUGAAAACAUUUUAUUCAGUCUGUAAGAAGCAUUCUACAUGAUGAUCGUAAUAAUACGAACAGUAAUAAAAAAGAAAAAUAAUAAUAAUGAAAACGAUGAUAACGAUGAUGUUGAUGUUGAUAAAAAUGUAAUAAUAAUUAUAAUAAUGAUACUGAUGCCAAUGAAAAUGGCGAUGACUUAUGAGUUGAUUUGACUUUAUCGCGCGAUGAUGGCGAUGACGGGAUGACAAUGACGAUGAUGACAAUUUGAUGACGAUGACGAUGACGACAACGACGACGACGUUGAUGACGAUGACGAUGACGAUGCUGAUGACGAUGACGAUGACGAUGAUAAAUUACUAUUAUUAUCAAACGAUAAUAAUAGUAAUAAUAUUAUUAUUAUUAGUAGAAGUAGUAAUAGUAGUAAUAGUAGUUGCAGUAAUAGUAGUAAUGAUAGUAUUAAUCCAUAAUAAUUCAUUCAUAAUAACCAUUUGUAAUAUACAGGUAAACUCUCUUACAUGUUGAAUUUUCAUAAUACAUAAAUUAUAGAAAAUUUACCAAUAAAUGAAACAUUAUAUUUUCUCAGACUA